GUACUUGCUUCGGGGGUACAUAUACUAAAAAAUUGGAACGAUACAGAGAAGAUUAGCAGGGCCCCUGCGCGAGGAUGACACGCAAAAUCAUGAAGCGUUCCAUAUUUUU
rnacentral:snRNA from 1 species